rnacentral:lncRNA from 1 species
AGCUGGUUAGCUGUGUGUUCACCAGCUCCGAAUGGAAAACUGGGCAGCGGCCACCUCCUCUCGUGGGGCCCGGGUGUUGGGGAGAGGGCGUGAUGAGCACUAGGACCCAGCAGGAGUUUGGGUAGUUCUCGGGGUUUCAGCAGUCCCUCUGACACCACCAUAGCCCCGGGAGCAUGGAGCCUGGGCUACGGCCGAGAUCCGCUCGCAGGCAGCGUUCUGAAUAUUGAGCCGAACCAGAAUGAAAGGAUUAAGCGGGAGACUCUAACCCAACUGGAACGUCAGCCUGGGCCGAGGGGAGCCCCAGCAGGGGGGACAGAAGAUAAAAGGUACUGGGGCGGUCAGCUGUUAUUGGAUCCAGGUGUUUCCCAUAGCCCGGUAUUGUGCAGUGUGAAAAGAGACUGUUCUGUGCCCCGCAAGUUCCCCACAUGGAAAAAAAUGAAGAUCCAUCAAUGUUACCAGUAAGCCCUGAUGAUUUUUCAACAUGUCUGCUGAAUUCCGGUGAAGUUCAUUCACUUUGGUGCCUGCCCACAAGAAGGGAGCCAAUAAAACAGAGAAGGAGCCAGCUGUGCCUGCA